AGAUUCAUUUUCUGGUGUCAGAUACCAUUUCCAAGUUUGAAGAAGAGAAGGAAAGGCUUUUAAAGUGAUAUGAACAAAUGAGGAAGAAAGAAAAGAGUAUGAUGUCAGACCAUGAGAAAGCUUGCGGAGAUAAGAUUACUCGAUUGGAGGAGUCUCUGAAAAAGGAAAACUCAGGACGACAAAACUUUUAGCAUUUUGAGGAAAACUUUGGGUUCCCUUUUUGAGAAUGCCUUGGAUGAUGAUUUCCCACCUGAUGAUUAAAGCUUUGCUUCAGUGUUGGCAUCUCAGAGAAAAGGCAAAACUGACCACUCUUUCAACCUGAUUCAAGA